AGCGACCCCAGUCAGGCGAGACACUCGCAG
rnacentral:rRNA from 1 species